rnacentral:rRNA from 1 species
GCAUAUCAAUAAGCGGAGGAAAAGAAAAUAACAAUGAUUCCCCUAGUAACUGCGAGUGAAGAGGGACAAGCUCAAAUUUUAAAUCUAUCGGGUUUUACCUGAUCGAGUUGUAAUUUGAAGAAGCGUUUUCUGCGUAUUUGGUCAGCCUAAGUCCUAUUGAAUGAGGCAUCAUGGAGGGUGAUAAUCCCGUCCGGUUGAUCAUUUGCGUUUUACGAUACGCUUUCUAAGAGUCAAGUUGUUUGGGAUUGCAGCUUAAAAUGGGAGGUAAAUUUCUCCUAAGGCUAAAUAACGGCGAGAGACCGAUAGCGAACAAGUACCGUGAGGGAAAGAUGAAAAGAACUUUGAAAAGAGAGUUAAACAGUACGUGAAAUUGUUGAAAGGGAAACGAUUGAAGCCAGUCGUACCUUCGGGUAAUCAGCCUUUCGGGUGCGAUUCUGUGGAGUGUGAGGAGCUUAAACACCUUCAUGUUUUGCAUAUUCGUACUCUUGGGUGUACUUGCCCGUGUGGUUGGUUAACAUCAAUUUUGGUGGUCAUAAAAUGACUGGGGGAAUGUAGCUUCGAUCUUGUAUUGAAGUGUUAUAGCCUUCGGUAGAUGUGAUGAUCGAGAUUGAGGAUUGCAACGGAUACCCUUUGGGGCUACCUGUCUGAUCUCUGAUCGUUGCUUUGGUGCCGAAAGCUUGCUUACGGUUAUCAAAGUCGAUGGUCAAUAGGUUAGAACGGGUUAAAUUCGUUAAGGAUGUUGACGUAAUGGCUUUAAACGAC